rnacentral:rRNA from 1 species
CAACAACGGGUACGGGUUGUGAGAGCAAGAGCCCGGAGAUGGAUUCUGAGACAUGAAUCCAGGCCCUACGGGGCGCAGCAGGCGCGAAAACUUUACAAUGCGGGAAACCGUGAUAAGGGGACACCGAGUGCCAGCAUCAUAUGCUGGCUGUCCAGAUGUGUAAAAUACACCUGUUAGCAAGGGCCGGGCAAGACCGGUGCCAGCCGCCGCGGUAACACCGGCGGCCCGAGUGGUGAUCGUGAUUAUUGGGUCUAAAGGGUCCGUAGCCGGUUUGGUCAGUCCUCCGGGAAAUCUGAUAGCUCAACUAUUAGGCUUUCGGGGGAUACUGCCAGGCUUGGAACCGGGAGAGGUAAGAGGUACUACAGGGGUAGGAGUGAAAUCUUGUAAUCCCUGUGGGACCACCUGUGGCGAAGGCGUCUUACCAGAACGGGUUCGACGGUGAGGGACGAAAGCUGGGGGCACGAACCGGAUUAGAUACCCGGGUAGUCCCAGCCGUAAACGAUGCUCGCUAGGUGUCAGGCAUGGCGCGACCGUGUCCGGUGCCG